GACGAACGCUGGCGGCGUGCUUAACACAUGCAAGUCGAACGGAAAGGCCCUGCUUUUGUGGGGUGCUCGAGUGGCGAACGGGUGAGUAACACGUGAGUAACCUGCCCUUGACUUUGGGAUAACUUCAGGAAACUGGGGCUAAUACCGGAUAGGAGCUCCUGCUGCAUGGUGGGGGUUGGAAAGUUUCGGCGGUUGGGGAUGGACUCGCGGCUUAUCAGCUUGUUGGUGGGGUAGUGGCUUACCAAGGCUUUGACGGGUAGCCGGCCUGGGAGGGUGACCGGCACCAUGGGGCUGAGGGACGCGCCAGGACCCAAUCGGGCGCAACGGGGGGGGAAUUUACGAAAAAGGGCGGAGCGUGUGAGGAAGAACCCCGGGGGGGGGAAGCCGGCCUUGGGGGUGGAACCCGUUUCCCCGUGUCACGAAGCGUGGGGGAGGGAAAUGGUAAAAGAAGCACCGCCAACCUACGG
rnacentral:rRNA from 1 species